GACGAACGCUGGCGGCGUGCCUAAUACAUGCAAGUUGAGCGCUGAAGGUUGGUACUUGUACCAACUGGAUGAGCAGCGCACGGGUGAGUAACGCGUGGGGAAUCUGCCUUUGAGCGGGGGACAACAUUUGGAAACGAAUGCUAAUACCGCAUAAAAACUUUAAACACAAGUUUUAAGUUUGAAAGAUGCAAUUGCAUCACUCAAAGAUGAUCCCGCGUUGUAUUAGCUAGUUGGUGAGGUAAAGGCUCACCAAGGCGAUGAUACAUAGCCGACCUGAGAGGGUGAUCGGCCACAUUGGGACGGAGACACGGCCCAAACGCCUACGGGAGGCAGCAGUAGGGAAUCUUCGGCAAUGGACGAAAGUCUGACCGAGCAACGCCGCGUGAGUGAAGAAGGUUGUCGGAUCGUAAAACUCUGUUGGUAGAGAAGAACGUUGGUGAGAGUGGAAAGCUCAUCAAGUGACGGUAACUACCCAGAAAGGGACGGCUAACUACGUG
rnacentral:rRNA from 1 species